rnacentral:rRNA from 1 species
UACGUAGGGUGCGAGCGUUAAUCGGAAUUACUGGGCGUAAAGCGUGCGCAGGCGGUUCGUUGUGUCGGCGGUGAAAGCCCGGAGCUCAACUCCGGAACUGCCAUUGAAACUGUUUAGCUUGAGGACGAGAGAGGUGAGUGGAAUUCCCAGUGUAGAGGUGAAAUUCGUAGAUAUCGGGAGGAACACCGGUGGCGAAGGCGGGUCUCUGGGCAGUAACUGACGCUGAGGAGCGAAAGCGUGGGGAGCGAACAGG